rnacentral:rRNA from 1 species
AGAGUUUGAUCCUGGCUCAGAAUCAACGCUGGCGGCGUGCCUCAGACAUGCAAGUCGAACGAGAACGUUAUCUUCGGAUAGCUACUAAAGUGGCGUACGGGAGAGUAACACGUAAGUAAUCUACCCUUGGGUGGGGAAUAACUUAGGGAAACUUAAGCUAAUACCGCAUAAUGCAGCAGCUUCAUAAGGAGCAGUUGUUAAAGGAUUUAUUCGCCUAGGGAGGAGCUUGCGGCAGAUUAGCUUGUUGGUAAGGUAAUGGCUUACCAAGGCAACGAUCUGUAGCCGGUCUAAGAGGACGGUCGGUCUCACUGACACUGAAUAACGGGUCAGACUCCUACGGGAGGCAGCAGUCGGGAAUUUUGGGCAAUGGGGGAAACCCUGACCCAGCAACGCCGCGUGAAGGAUGAAGUCUUUCGGGAUGUAAACUUCGAAAGUAUAGGAAGAAUAAAUGACGGUACUAUACGUAAGCUCCGGCUAACUACGUGCCAGCAGCCGCGGUAAUACGUAGGGGGCAAGCGUUGUUCGGAUUUACUGGGCCGUAAAGGGUGCGUAGGCGGCGCGACAAGUCACUUGUGAAAUCUCCGGGCUUAACUCGGACGGCCAAGCGAAACUGUUGUGCUAGAGUGCAGGAAGGGCAGCUGGAAUUCUUGGUGUAGCGGUGAAUUGCGUAGAUUUCAAGAGGAACACCUGAGGCGAAGCAGUUGCUAGACUGACACUGACGCUGAGGCACGAAAGCCAGGGAGCGACGGGAUUAGAUACCCGGUAGUCCUGGCCCUAACGAUGAUGCUUGGUGUCUGGAGUCUUAUGCUCUGGGUGCCGUCGUUACGCUUUAGCAUUCCCCUGGGGAUACCUCGCAAAGUGAACUCAAAGAAUUGACGGGACCCGCCCAAGCGGUGGGCAUGGUGUUUAUUCGCAGCACGCGAAAACAUUACCUGGCUCGAAUGCGAGGGAAAGUCGCAUAAUCGUGGCUGUUUGGGCAACCAAACCCGAAGCAAGGU